UACGAAGGGGGCUAGCGUUGCUCGGAUUGACUGGGCGUAAAGGGCGCGUAGGCGGUUUGCAUAGUCAGACGUGAAAUUCCUGGGCUUAACCUGGGGGCUGCGUUUGAUACAUGCAGGCUUGAGUUCGGAAGAGGGUCGUGGAAUUCCCAGUGUAGAGGUGAAAUUCGUAGAUAUUGGGAAGAACACCGGUGGCGAAGGCGGCGACCUGGUCCGAUACUGACGCUGAGGCGACGAAAGCGUGGGGAGCAAACAGG
rnacentral:rRNA from 1 species